rnacentral:lncRNA from 1 species
CGCCCCGCCAGAAGCAUCGCGAAGCCAUGAGGACGAGGUCGACCGGCGAGCAGGCGCGCCACCCACGCUAGGUCGCGAAGGCUCCACGGUGUGAGAUCAUGAUGGUCGGCAAAGAUUGCCAGAGCGGGGACCGCUCGGCAGGACGGCGACGAUGAUGUCGCCGACUGAGUGUCGCGCCGCAGCCAGAGCAGUACUGACGCACUACAGCUGACCUAAGCAACGCCAGGGACGCCAUGGAGGCGCCACAGGGGAUUGGCGCGGCCACGAAGGCCGGCCAGGAACUACUACCGACAAGGAGGGUCAGGGCGCCGAGGCGCCCUAACGCAACCAAGCGGAGUUGUGGUUAGCGAAUUUGGGGGAGGGGGGUUUAGCGAAUAGAGGUUACAUGUGGGAUGACAGCCACGGGCAAGCCAGGGCUCCAUAAACGCACGAGACACGUACGCACACUCGAGGAGGGAACCUCGAAUGACCCCCACGCUCCUCGCCUCACUAAAGGAGGGGAGGAACCCCGAGCAAGGCUCACCGCAAACGCUAGCGCUGCUCACCUAAGCCGCGGGUCGGCGUCAGACUGACUGCCACUUUGCAAAGUGCAACUCCUACCCCAAAACACCAGCACCAACAGGGCAGGGCCCUCACACUGUUGGGUGCAGCCCGAAGCUGCAUCCUGUAGACGGCCCAGGGCCGUGCAAGUUCGCUGAACCACGAGGAUCAGCCGGUCCGACCCACCAGACAGCACAAGCCACAGCGCCCGCAACCUAGCACAGGCGGUGCAGGCACGCCCACCGCCCAACCAAGUCCACACAGCCUCGCAACACCCUAGCACAGCAGACAGCGCCAGCCAGCCUUCGCAUAGUCGGCCUGCGCCAGCCAGCCUUCGCUGGACUGCCUUCGCCAGACUGCAUUCGCCAAGCAGGUCUCUCCACUGUGUAGAUGCGCCCACAGCUCCAGCCGCCGCCGCCCGGAAGACGCCGGUCCUGGCUCCCGCCGCAGCGUGCCCCGGUUCACGCGCGGCGAGCCCGGCGCCACGUCAGGCCGCGGCAGCAGCCCACAGCAAGAGUCGCCAGCAGCUCCAAUCGGCCCUCCGUUACCGAAAGAGCCGCUCAGCGACACGCCACUGCGAGCCCGGCAGCAGCGAGCGCUCCGCCAGAAGCAUCGCGAAGCCAUGAGGACGAGGUCGACCGGCGAGCAGGCGCGCCACCCACGCUAGGUCGCGAAGGCUCCACGGUGUGAGAUCAUGAUGGUCGGCAAAGAUUGCCAGAGCGGGGACCGCUCGGCAGGACGGCGACGAUGAUGUCGCCGACUGAGUGUCGCGCCGCAGCCAGAGCAGUACUGAUGCACUACAGCUGACCUAAGCAACGCCAGGGUUUAGCUACUCAUCUACACAUGCUGUUCCAAAGUGUGCCUCCUGGCGUGUUUUUGGGGUCUGGCGUGUGCCCCAGCCCGCUUUCAAGGCUGCGACCAAGUGUAACUGACUAUUUGCGCCCUGACGCCCCACCCAGCGGCGCGCCAUUAAUUAUUAAGAGCGUUUGCUGUGAGAAAACGCUGGUCAAAGCAGAUGCACUUUGUGGGGUGGGUGAACGAAACGCGUUGACUCUUAUGUUGAAGAAUAGCCAGCUCACCCAGCACCUUUACUUUUUUGCAAGCGCCAAGAUCGGCUGAAGGGAUGCGAAGCGCGGGACCAGUUGGCCCCCCAUUGUGCAACCUCCCCAAGGGGCCUAUGCGCGAUGCAUAGUAUAUUUUGAAUAGAUCGGAGUGAUUUGUAUUCUCUACGCGCGGACGGUUCCCCUGAAGCGCAGCGAGCGAGCCAAAUGCACCACCAGCAAGCUUGCCCGCGGACGCGACUCUCUGGGCAUCACUGAGAUCAUGGGAUGUUUUGAAUAAGUAUCUAUUUGUAGAACAUAUUAUGUGCGCACAGUGCUCCCUGCUGACUGGUUGACUGACAGAAGUGAGACAGACUCCUUAAUCGCUCAAUCUUUGCGGUUUGGCAUUCGUCAUACUACAAUUGGAUGCCCUCUAUGAUAUAUAGCUGUUGUGCUUGCCAUUGUCUACUCGCCCCGCACGAACGUGACUGACGCGCGCGCCUGGCCGCUUCGCCGCCCGUCCGUUCGCGUGCCAGCACCCUCCUGUAUGGGGGGGCGAGCGCCCCC